AAUUUCCUGUGAAUCGCUUGGGAUCAAAUGGAGCUGAAGAAGUAAAGAAAAGCCAUUUGUUCUGCAACACAAAUUGGGAUGGCCUCUUGAAUAAAACUGUGAAGCCACCAAUCAUGCCUCUUAUGAAAAGCUCAAGCGAUAACAGCAGCUCUAAGGCAAACCUUGUUAUAACUACUGGCGAGAGUAAUUUGCCUAUCCCAGCCUCUGUCAAUGAAGCGCUCCAGGACUUUGAGUAUUAUGCUGGUUGAGUGUGUGAGAACGGCCACGUGUAACCAACCUGGCACAUUACAGGCUGAAGUUGACAGAAGAAACUAUGACAGUCGGAGCGCUUGAGGUCCUUUAUAACGUCUUGCCUGCAAAAGGGCCCCCACGUCAGAUGGAGAGGUGCAGAGCUGCUGCAGCGCCCAUUUAUUACAGAGCUGCAAUCUAACGGCCAUGAGAGCUGAAAUGAAAGAGCACCUGCAGGCACCGAGGAACAAGUCUACCGAGAAAGAACACAAAUUGGGAUGGCCUCUUGAAUAAAACUGUGACGCCAGCAAUCAUGUCUCUUAUGGAAAGCUCAAGCAAUAACAGCAGCUCUAAGGCAAACCUUGUUAUAACUACUGGCGAGAGUAAAUUGCCUAUCCCAGCCUCUGUCAAUGAAGCGCUCCAGGACUUUGAGUAUUAUGCUGGUUGAGUGUGUGAGAAUGGCCACGUGUAACCGACCUGGCA